GCGAUAGCUCAGUGGGAGAACAUCUGCUUUGCAUGCAGAAGGUAUCAGGCUCAAUCCCUAGUAUCUCCA